rnacentral:rRNA from 1 species
GGGGUGGGGGACCUCCGGGCCUCACACCAUCGGAUGUGCCCAGAUGGGAUUAGCUUGUANGCGGGGUAACGGCCCACCUACGCGACGAUCCCUAGCUGGUCUGAAAGGAUGACCANCCACACUGGAACUGAGACACGGUCCAGACUCCUACGGGAGGCAGCAGUGGGGAAUAUUGCACAAUGGGCGCAAGCCUGAUGCAGCCAUGCCGCGUGUAUGAAGAAGGCCUUCGGGUUGUAAAGUACUUUCANCGGGGAGGAAGGUGCUGANGUUANUAA